rnacentral:rRNA from 1 species
CCGGCGAUGUCCGAAUGGGGAAACCCAGUGCAAUUCGUUGCACUAUCGUUAACUGAAUACAUAGGUUAACGAGGCGAACCGGGGGAACUGAAACAUCUAAGUACCCCGAGGAAAAGAAAUCAACCGAGAUUCCCCCAGUAGCGGCGAGCGAACGGGGAGCAGCCCAGAGUCUGAAUCAGCUUGUGUGUUAGUGGAACGGUCUGGAAAGUCCGACGGUACAGGGUGAUAGUCCCGUACACCAAAAUGCACAGGUUGUGAACUCGAAGAGUAGGGCGGGACACGUGGUAUCCUGUCUGAAUAUGGGGGGACCAUCCUCCAAGGCUAAAUACUCCUGACUGACCGAUAGUGAACCAGUACCGUGAGGGAAAGGCGAAAAGAACCCCGGCGAGGGGAGUGAAAAAGAACCUGAAACCGUGUACGUACAAGCAGUGGGAGCACCUUCGGGUGUGACUGCGUACCUUUUGUAUAAUGGGUCAGCGACUUAUAUUCUGUAGCAAGGUUAACCGUAUAGGGGAGCCGCAGGGAAACCGAGUCUUAACUGGGCGUUAAGUUGCAGGGUAUAGACCCGAAACCCGGUGAUCUAGCCAUGGGCAGGUUGAAGGUUGGGUAACACUAACUGGAGGACCGAACCGACUAAUGUUGAAAAAUUAGCGGAUGACUUGUGGCUGGGGGUGAAAGGCCAAUCAAACCGGGAGAUAGCUGGUUCUCCCCGAAAGCUAUUUAGGUAGCGCCUCGUGAACUCAUCUUCGGGGGUAGAGCACUGUUUCGGCUAGGGGGUCAUCCCGACUUACCAACCCGAUGCAAACUACGAAUACCGAAGAAUGUUAUCACGGGAGACACACGGCGGGUGCUAACGUCCGUCGUGAAGAGGGAAACAACCCAGACCGCCAGCUAAGGUCCCAAAGUCAUGGUUAAGUGGGAAACGAUGUGGGAAGGCACAGACAGCCAGGAUGUUGGCUUAGAAGCAGCCAUCAUUUAAAGAAAGCGUAAUAGCUCACUGGUCGAGUCGGCCUGCGCGGAAGAUGUAACGGGGCUAAACCAUGCACCGAAGCUGCGGCAGCGACACUAUGUGUUGUUGGGUAGGGGAGCGUUCUGUAAGCCUGCGAAGGUGACCUGUGAGGGUUGCUGGAGGUAUCAGAAGUGCGAAUGCUGACAUAAGUAACGAUAAAGCGGGUGAAAAGCCCGCUCGCCGGAAGACCAAGGGUUCCUGUCCAACGUUAAUCGGGGCAGGGUGAGUCGACCCCUAAGGCGAGGCCGAAAGGCGUAGUCGAUGGGAAACAGGUUAAUAUUCCUGUACUUGGUGUUACUGCGAAGGGGGGACGGAGAAGGCUAUGUUAGCCGGGCGACGGUUGUCCCGGUUUAAGCAUGUAGGCUGGUUAUCCAGGCAAAUCCGGAUAAUCAAGGCUGAGGUGUGAUGACGAGGCACUACGGUGCUGAAGUAACAAAUGCCCUGCUUCCAGGAAAAGCCUCUAAGCAUCAGGUAACAUCAAAUCGUACCCCAAACCGACACAGGUGGUCAGGUAGAGAAUACCAAGGCGCUUGAGAGAACUCGGGUGAAGGAACUAGGCAAAAUGGUGCCGUAACUUCGGGAGAAGGCACGCUGGUGUGUAGGUGAAGCCCCUGCGGGUGGAGCUGAGACCAGUCGAAGAUACCAGCUGGCUGCAACUGUUUAUUAAAAACACAGCACUGUGCAAACACGAAAGUGGACGUAUACGGUGUGACGCCUGCCCGGUGCCGGAAGGUUAAUUGAUGGGGUUAUCCGUAAGGAGAAGCUCUUGAUCGAAGCCCCGGUAAACGGCGGCCGUAACUAUAACGGUCCUAAGGUAGCGAAAUUCCUUGUCGGGUAAGUUCCGACCUGCACGAAUGGCGUAAUGAUGGCCAGGCUGUCUCCACCCGAGACUCAGUGAAAUUGAACUCGCUGUGAAGAUGCAGUGUACCCGCGGCAAGACGGAAAGACCCCGUGAACCUUUACUAUAGCUUGACACUGAACAUUGAGCCUUGAUGUGUAGGAUAGGUGGGAGGCUUUGAAGCGUGGACGCCAGUCUGCGUGGAGCCAACCUUGAAAUACCACCCUUUAAUGUUUGAUGUUCUAACGUUGGCCCCUGACCGGGGUUGCGGACAGUGUCUGGUGGGUAGUUUGACUGGGGCGGUCUCCUCCCAAAGCGUAACGGAGGAGCACGAAGGUUAGCUAAUCCUGGUCGGACAUCAGGAGGUUAGUGCAAUGGCAUAAGCUAGCUUGACUGCGAGCGUGACGGCGCGAGCAGGUGCGAAAGCAGGUCAUAGUGAUCCGGUGGUUCUGAAUGGAAGGGCCAUCGCUCAACGGAUAAAAGGUACUCCGGGGAUAACAGGCUGAUACCGCCCAAGAGUUCAUAUCGACGGCGGUGUUUGGCACCUCGAUGUCGGCUCAUCACAUCCUGGGGCUGAAGUAGGUCCCAAGGGUAUGGCUGUUCGCCAUUUAAAGUGGUACGCGAGCUGGGUUUAGAACGUCGUGAGACAGUUCGGUCCCUAUCUGCCGUGGGCGCUGGAGAAUUGAGGGGGGCUGCUCCUAGUACGAGAGGACCGGAGUGGACGCAUCACUGGUGUUCGGGUUGUCAUGCCAAUGGCACUGCCCGGUAGCUAAAUGCGGAAGAGAUAAGUGCUGAAAGCAUCUAAGCACGAAACUUGCCCCGAGAUGAGUUCUCCCUGAGACUUUAAGUCUCCUGAAGGAACGUUAAAGACGAUGACGUUGAUAGGCCGGGUGUGUAAGCGCAGCGAUGCGUUGAGCUAACCGGUACUAAUGAACCGUGAGGCUUAACCUU